rnacentral:rRNA from 1 species
UGCGUAGGCGGGGCAAUUAGUCAGUGGUGAAAUCCUGCGGCUUAACCGUAGAACUGCCAUUGAUACUGUUGCUCUUGAGUAUAGUUGAGGUGGGCGGAAUAUGUAAUGUAGCGGUGAAAUGCAUAGAUAUUACAUAGAACACCGAUUGCGAAGGCAGCUCACUAAGCUAUCACUGACGCUGAGGCACGAAAGCGUGGGGAGCGAACAGGAUUAGAUACCCUGGUAGUCC